UGUGUGACUGGGGUUCAGACGUCUGGUCACCCUAAUAUCAACAGGAAGCUCUUCACCUCUCGCUUUCAUCUGCAGCUUUCUCUGCCUCCUCCAGCUUCUGCAGAGCAGUAGCUAGCCUCUCCUGAGCUCGGUCCAACUCCUCUUCCACCAGCUGGAUGCGUCUAUUGAGAGACGCC